UGAGGCGCCCCUGCGGGGCUUGCCCAACGUAUAAAUAUGCCGAAGCUCACCCACAGUUGCCACAGCGGACCUAACAAUUAGGACGCUGUGUAACUGCCCCGUGAGAAAGUAUGGAUAUUUAAUACGGGGGUGGUUCAAACGACGAUACGUUCGCACUGGCAGCCUAACGGCCGCCGUCCUCUGCCUAGUUCACUGACGGGCUAGUGUCGCAAGACCGGUAGCAAUACCGACAGAGGUCAUAUACGUCAGUUAAGCCUUGGCGGCGUCGCGACGUCCGGGUCGAAAACUUAGCGAAUCGCCGUAGUGCAGCGUGUUCGUCCGCGUCGCUGCGGUUAAAUCAAAUGACUGAACUAAACAUGUAGAACUAGUCGUGGAGCGCUUCUGGACGCGGGUUCGAUUCCCGCCGCCUCCACCA
rnacentral:tmRNA from 1 species